rnacentral:rRNA from 1 species
UUCCGGUUGAUCCUGCCGGACCUGACUGCUAUCGGAUUGAUACUAAGCCAUGCGAGUCUUUGUAGUAAUACAAGGCAGACGGCUCAGUAACACGUAGUCAACCUACCCUAUGGACGAGAAUAAUCUCGGGAAACUGAGCAUAAUUCUUGAUAGAUCAUAAUGCCUGGAAUGGUUUAUGGUUAAAAUGAUUCGUCGCCAUAGGAUGGGACUGCGGCCUAUCAGCUUGUUGGUGAGGUAAUGGCCCACCAAGGCGAUUACAGGUACGGGCUCUGAGAGGAGAAGCCCGGAGAUGGGUACUGAGACACGGACCCAGGCCCUAUGGGGCGCAGCAGGCGAGAAAACUUUGCAAUGUGCGAAAGCACGACAAGGUUAAUCCGAGUGAUUUCUGCUAAAGAAAUCUUUUGCCAGUCGUAAAACCACUGGUGAAUAAGGGGUGGGCAAGUUCUGGUGUCAGCCGCCGCGGUAAAACCAGCACCUCAAGUGGUCAGGAUGAUUAUUGGGCCUAAAGCAUCCGUAGCCGGCUUUGUAAGUUUUCGGUUAAAUCCAUGUGCUUAACGCAUGGGCUGCCGAAAAUACUGCAUGGCUAGGGAGUGGGAGAGGUAGACGGUACUCAGUAGGAAGGGGUAAAAUCCUUUGAUCUAUUGAUGACCACCUGUGGCGAAGGCGGUCUACCAGAACACGUUCGACGGUGAGGGAUGAAAGCUGGGGGAGCAAACCGGAUUAGAUACCCGGGUAGUCCAGCUGUAAACGAUGCAGACUCGAUGAUGCAUUGGCAUAAUAGCCAUUGCAGUGUCGCAGGGAAGCCGUUAAGUCAGCCGCCUGGGGAGUACGGUCGCAAGACUGAAACUUAAGGAAUUGGCGGGGGAGCACCACAAGGGGUGAAGCCUGCGGUUCAAUUGGAGUCAACGCCGGG